CCGACAACAGAGAGGAUCUUGGUCCUCUGACAAGAAAUUUAGAGAUCAGCUCUUUCAGUAACAUCUCUACCCAAGAGCCUGGACCGCUUUGGGGUGAAUGAUGCCUCAAAAACCCUGAGAUAGAAUUUCCAAGCCAUCACUUCAAAUUACUGCAUAACUGUGUUCAUGGAAGUAGUAAUGAUGAUGCUAAUACAUGUGUGGGAAAGGAAGAAAAGGAAGAAUCUGGGCAACUCAACUCAAUGAGGAGCUGAGCACCAGGACAAGCACUUCCCAUGCUGUUCAGCUUGUUGAUGCUGCCCCAUGAACCUGCUCUCACCCUUAAGGUCUGAUGACGGAUUUAGC